rnacentral:rRNA from 1 species
GGAGUCUGGGCCGUGUCUCAGUCCCAAUGUGGCCGUCCGCCCUCUCAGGCCGGCUACUGAUCGUCGCUUUGGUGGGCCGUUACCCCGCCAACUGGCUAAUCAGACGCGGAUCCAUCUUUCACCGAUAAAUCUUUCCGAGCGAUGUCAUGCGGCAUCUCUCGCGUAUGCGGUAUUACCAGCCGUUUCCAGCUGCUAUCCCCCUGUGAAAGGCAGGUUAUCCACGCGUUACUCACCCGUCCGCCACUAAACUUAAAAUUCAGACCGAAAUCGUCAUAAUAAGUCCCGUUCGACUUGCAUGUGUUAGGCACGCCGCCAGCGUUCAUC